GGCGCAUCAGUUUGUUGGUAGGGUAAUGGCCUACCAAGACUAUGACGCGUAGCCAGGCUGAGAGGCUGAUUGGCCACAAGGAACUGAGACACGGUCCUACUCCCAAGGGAGGCAGCAGUGAGGAAUUUUCCGCAAUGGGGGCAACCCUGACGGAGCAAUACUACGUGAAGGAGGAAGGUCUACGGAUUGUAAACUUCUGUUAGUGCGGAAGAAGGGCUGAGCGUAAGUUCAGUUUUGACAGUACGCACAGAGAAAGCGACGACUAACUACGUGCCAGCAGUCGCGGUAAGACGUAGGUCGCGAACGUUAUCCGGAAUUAUUGGGCGUAAAGGGUGCGUAGGCGGCAUAAUAAGUUAUUGGCGGGAAAUCGAGGCUCAACCUCGUGGAAACUGAUAAUACUGUUUUGCUUGAGUACAGGAGAGGUUAAUGGAACUCCAUGUGGAGCGGUAAAAUGUGUAGAUAUAUGGAAGAACAUCAAUAACGGCGAAGGCAGUUAACUAUUCUGUUACUGACGUUGAGGCACGAAAGCGUGGGGAGCAAAAAGGAUUAGAUACCCUUGUAGUCCACGCCCUAAACGAUGAGUACUAGAUAUUGGGAACUUGAUUCUCAGUGUCGCUAGUUAACACAGUAAGUACUCCGCCUGGGUAGUACGCUCGCAAGAGUGAAACUCAAAGGAAUUGACGGGGACUCGCACAAGCAGUGGAGCAUGUGGUUUAAUCCGAUACAACGCGUAGAACCUUACCAAGGCUUGACAUGUCUGGCAAAACUGUGGAAACACAGCGGAGGUUAUCCGGACACAGGUGCUGCAUGGCCGUCGUCAGUUCGUGCCGUGAGGUGUAUGGUUAAGUCCUAUAACGAACGCAACCCUUGGACUUAGUUGCCAGCAUUCAGUUGGGGACUCUAGGUCGACUG
rnacentral:rRNA from 1 species